rnacentral:rRNA from 1 species
UACGUAGGGUGCGAGCGUUAAUCGGAAUUACUGGGCGUAAAGCGUGCGCAGGCGGUUCGUUAAGUCAGAUGUGAAAGCCUCGAGCUCAACUUGGGAACUGCAUUUGAAACUGGCGGGCUGGAGUGUGGCAGAGGGGGGUGGAAUUCCACGUGUAGCAGUGAAAUGCGUAGAGAUGUGGAGGAACACCGAUGGCGAAGGCAGCCCCCUGGGCCAACACUGACGCUCAGGCACGAAAGCGUGGGGAGCAAACAGG